UACGGAAGGCAGCAGUGGGGAAUAUUGCACAAUGGGCGAAAGCCUGAUGCAGCUAUGCCGCGUGUAUGAAGAAGGCCUUAGGGUUGUAAAGUACUUUCAUCGGGGAGGAAAAACAAAACUAAUAAUUUUAUUUCUUGACGUUACCCGAAAAAGAAGCACCGGCUAACUCCGUGCCAGCAGCCGCGGUAAUACGGAGGGUGCUAGCGUUAAUCAGAAUUACUGGGCGUAAAGAGCACGUAGGUGGUUUUUUUAAGUCAGAUGUGAAAUCCCUGGGCUUAACCUAGGAACUGCAUUUUGAAACUGAAAUACUAGAGUAUCGUAGAGGGAGGUAGAAUUCUAGGUGUAGCGGUGAAAUGCGUAGAUAUCUGGAGGAAUACCUGUGGCGAAAGCGGCCUCCUAAACGAAUACUGACACUGAGGUGCGAAAGCGUGGGGAGCAAAC
rnacentral:rRNA from 1 species